rfam:Capsicum annuum cultivar Zunla-1 chromosome 8, whole genome shotgun sequence
UGAUGAUAAUGAGGGAAAUUUAUGAGCAUACCCUUAAAUCUUUCCCAAGCUUGGUAGAGAUUGUCUCUAUCUUUCUGCCUAAAACUUAAGAUUUCACUCCUCAAGGG